CACAUGGCCAAAGAGAGGAGUGGUCUCUGCCUGCAUUAAUAUCCCUCUACUAGACCAUCAUAACUGACAACAAAAACAACAUUUGGACAAAAUGCCAUGUUCUGGAUCACGUGGGAUGAAGUAUCACCGUUCCUAGACUACCGAGAUUCACCAAAUGGAAGCAGGGGAAAGAUCAACAUACACAAGAUUGCACAAUGGGAAAAGAAAAGCAUAUACAGUCGGCCCUUGUUAUACACGGAUUUCUUAUACACGGAUUCAAGCAUACAAGGUUUGAAAAUGUUCAAAAAAAGUAUAAAUUUCAAAUAUC